rnacentral:rRNA from 1 species
UACGUAGGUGGCAAGCGUUAUCCGGAAUUAUUGGGCGUAAAGCGCGCGCAGGCGGUCAAUUAAGUCUGAUGUGAAAGCCCCCGGCUCAACCGGGGAGGGUCAUUGGAAACUGGUUGACUUGAGUACUGGAGAGAAGAGUGGAAUUCCACGUGUAGCGGUGAAAUGCGUAGAGAUGUGGAGGAACACCAGUGGCGAAGGCGACUCUUUGGCCAGAAACUGACGCUGAGGCGCGAAAGCGUGGGGAGCAAACAGG